rnacentral:rRNA from 1 species
AUUGAACGCUGGCGGCAGGCCUAACACAUGCAAGUCGAACGAGUGGCGGACGGGUGAGUAAUGUCUGGGGAACUGCCCGAUAGAGGGGGAUAACUACUGGAAACGGUGGCUAAUACCGCAUACCAUCGGAUGUGCCCAUAUGUGAUUAGCUAGUAGGUGGGGUAAAGGCUCACCUAGGCGACGAUCUCUAGCGGGUCUGAGAGGAUGCCCAGCCACACCGGAACUGAGACACGGCGCAGACUCCGACGGGAGGCAGCAGUGGGGAAUAUUGCACAAUGGGCGCACUCCUGAUGCAGCCAUGCCGCGUGUAUGAAGAAGGCCUUAGGGUUGUAAAGUACUUUCAGCGGGGAGGCGUUACCCGCCGAAGAAGCACCGGCUAACUCCGUGCCAGCAGCCGCGGUAAUUC